AUGAAUAAAGAAAAUGUGGUACAUCUACACAAUGGAAUACUAUUCAGAUAUUAUACAUCAAGGCAUCAUGAAUUUUGCAAGCAAAUAAAUGAAACUUGAGGAUAUCAUACUUGUGAGUGUGCCCAGCCUUCUCAUAGAGGGUUUCUUUAUGAAAAUUUCUACCUAUUCUUGUUUUGAGAGUACUGAGAGUCAUGAGUCGGCCACCUUCCUGGGUUUCUAAGAGUGAAGAACAGGAAAAAAUGUUUUGUUUCUACAUAAGUAUACCUGCUUCUUCUGGCUACUAUCAAGAUGGGGAUUUUGUUAUUGGAGGAUUCUUUUCCCUUAGAGUGACUGAUCGAGAAGAUAGAAUUGAAUUUGGCUUUAAUGAUGCAAUGAAUAUGCCAGAUGAAGUUUAUUUGGAUUUCACUAAACAUUAUCAGCACAUUUUGGCAAUGAUUUUUUGCUAUAGAAAAAAAUCAACAAGGACCCAAAUAUUCUUUUCAAUAUGUCCUUGGGAUUCUAUCUCUUCAAUGUUGACUUUAUUGUGAUGAAGGCCACGGAAAGUUCUAUGGUGUUGUUCUCAGGAGAGAGACCACCAAUUCCUAACUACAGCUGCAGGCCUGAGAAGACUAAUAAGCUGGUUGCAGUGAUAGGAGGCUAUUCAAUAGCAAUAACAGCUGAGAUCUCCCAAGUUCUAAGUCUCUACAAUGUCCCACAGCUCCAUCCAUUCUUACAAAACGGCCAGUUUGUAAGAAGCUCCAGUGAGGAGAACAUUGUGAACAAGGAGGGUUCAGCAACCAAACUUGACAUCUUUAAUUACCAGUCUCUCAUGAGUGGUACCAAAGCUCAUGUGAAGGUUGGUGAGUUUGUCUUCAAAUCUCACAGUGUUCAGCAUUUAUCUCUAAAUGAAGAACUUAUAAGUUGGGGUGAGCAGCACAAUCAGACUCCUUCAUCUGUUUGCAGUCAAAGUUGUCCACUUGGACUUCGGAAAACACCUGUUGAAGGGAAACCAUUCUGUUGUUUUGAUUGUGUCCCUUGUCCAGAUGGAGAGAUUUCAAAUGAAACAGGUAUUUGCUUUUAUCUAGGCCACAACUUACUUUAAACAUAAUUGCCAGAUCUCGAGAAGGGCAAACUCAAGUUGGAACUUACAAUAUUGAGAGGAAUCAGCACUCAACCAUGGUCAAAAUCAAGCUCAGAAAAUGGAUGAAUGAGCAAAGUGGGUCAUAGUUUUUAACUCCAGAGACUGCUUGCACACUGUAAUAUUGGACACAGUACCAUCAUAAGAACAAGAUACAUCUACAGUAUUCAGAGUCUACCUUGUGUCUCAAUUAAUGCUUAUCUUUUGUGUAUGUAAACUUAUAUUAUAAAUUCUUUAGAAGCUUUUCAUCA
rnacentral:lncRNA from 1 species